UCAAGUCUUUAAAUGUCAAGGGUGAGGGUUGGGUGUUCUUUGAUAUCUUUUCUUAUGUCGUCAUGUAGAUUCUUUUUUUCCUCUAGUGAAAGACAUAAUAAAGUUUGAAAGGCUGGUGAAUAAGUCUGAUCUGGGGAAGAAUUUAGAAGAAAGUUGGUGACAGACUUCUGAAAUAGUAUUUCAACAAGUAACAGCAUUGAAUUCAAAAUGAAAACUAAAAGUUCAUAGAAUAGACUUGUAUGUAUUGAAACGGGCCUUGAAAUACCAGAAUCAGAAGUGUGCUUUGAUAAAGGCCGUCUUGUCCUUUGUUCAGAUGCCAGCUAUGAUGUGUUUAAACAAAUCCUUUGGACCUACCACAGUAAAGUUGGUUUUACAUUUAUCUCGGACAAGGGCCCCCAAACCCGGGCCACAGACCACUACCAGUCCUCGGCUUGUUAAAAACCAACACAUAGCAGAUGGGACCGUCUAGUUGCAGAAAAACAAACUCAGGGCUCCCAAUGAUUCUACAUUACGCACCAUUAGGAUAUUGCCUCCUGUCUUCUGUCCUUCAUUCCUUCUGAGGAGAAGUCAGCCAAAUUCAAGUUGUUUCCACUCAACAGGCAAUUAAUUUGGAAGAGCUAAAAUUGGAAACUGCCCCUGCCAUCUGCAAUGAACAGAAGGUCAAAUAACUCCUGCUCAUUACAAUGAUCACAUUUUGUGAGUUUGAUUAUCUUCAUGGAAUCUAUCAGGGGUGGUUCCAACUGCUACAUUAAAUCCGGGAGUGCGAGCACCAGUCUUCCCAAGAGCCAUGCCAAUGCACACACCACCUCAAGAAUUCUCAUCGGGGAUAUUUCACUUCAAGUGACUCAAGCCGGGUACCCCAGUGUGGACUUUCAUUCCACCUUCUCUUUCAAUCGGUAAUUAAGUUUCAACUCCCACUGAUGCUAGUUCCUUUAUCGCAGCAUCCUUCUACAUCUGUCUUUUUCUUUCCAUUCCCAUAGCUUCUAGCCUAAGACAGGCCCUCUUAACCAUUUCACUGGACUAUUGCAAUAACUUGUGGACAUGCUUUCACCUUUAAUUUGGAUCCAAUCUUCCAUACUCCAACCAUCCAUUCUUCACAUCACUGAUAAGAUUGCCUUCUUCAAUAAUGAGAUCAUUCUCCUUUCCCUUAAAAAAUUAAGUCCAAACACCUUAUUAUUGUAAAUAAGGCUUUCACUAAAUCAUAACUUACAUGUUUAAAGAUUCUGUUUAUAUUAUUUUUAAAUACUUUAUACUUAAUGAUAGCUCAUCUUGGCAAACAUAUUCCAAAGAGCAAGCAGAUAGAAAUGUAUACAUCACCUUCUAUUUUUUAUUUUCAUUUUUCAACUUAAAUCUUCCAAAGUAAUUUAUGAACUCCAAUAUUAACUGAACCUAUUUGUAUGUUUCCUCAUUAGUAAUAUGAAAUAUUUGUAGUUCCUGUUAAUCGCAGUUAAAGUACACUUUAUGUCUGUGGAAAACAAAAUAUAAGAAUGCUCAAUUUAAAUCAUUUUAAAUAUCAAGACUGUAAUUCACAAAAUUGUACAUUAAUCGUGGAAACUUUUAAAAAUACACAUAAGGCAAAUUUUGAAUCUUACUAUUGACCAUCUUGCUUCUAAAAACGUAUUAUGGAAAGAAUAUUAGGUAUAAUAAACCUAUUUUUAAGGUAAUGAAUGGCAAACUGUAUUUUCUAAUUGCUCUCCUAUGGAAGGUGACUACAGAGUGUUCCAGUCAUACCUGUAACAUCCUGAGCUUAUUCUGUUUUUAACAGGAAUAACAACAUUUUAAUAUGUAUUGAGACAUUCAUUUUCUAACACAAAUAUGCAGAGUAAAUGCUGUGGUUUUUUGUUUGUUUGUUUGUUUGUUUGUUUUUUAUCUCUCUUUUGCAGUCUCUUUUGGCCAAGUAAACAUGCUCACUCUUAAAAGUAUAGAUAUGUUUUCAUGUCACUGACCAACAUAAUUGGAAGAGAAGCAACUGAAUUUUUUCAAAAUCCUACACAAUGUAAAACAAUAGCUCCACUUGGGGACAAGUUGGUGACUGGAAAAUCGUCAGUUUUCUAAUUUCCACCAAGUUAUGGAUCUCUCGAUGGAAUCAUGCAUUUCAGUGAAACUUCACUGGAUUAUAGUGUGGCAGCUGUAUGGAUCAUAUAGGUUGGCAUUCUGAACAUUUAUCCAAACUUAUGGUCUUUUCAUGCCUCAUGCAUAAACAACAAAUUGUUCUCUCCUGUUGUCAGUGUUUUCCAAUGCGCUAGUAUUAGUUUCAGUGGUGCUGCUAUCUCAUUUUACCAAAGACCAGGACUACUAUAAAUUAUGUCUACAUUAAUUUAUUUGGACAUAGAUUGGAGAAAUUUUAUCUGAAGAAUAUGCCUUCUCUUUCUGCCUCUCUCUCUUUCUCUCUGAACCUCCCAGUAAAACAGUUUUCCAGAAAAAAACACUGGACCAAUUUGGCUUAAGUAGGUUUUCUUUGUAGCAAUCAUAAAUAUUAUCAUUGCUUCCAUUCAUUUCACUAAUCAUAUAUUCACAGAUAUGAAAUACUGAUGCCUAUACAUUGAUCUCUAAGGAAACUUUAUACUUGUGUUGAAUAAAGCUAACUCACAGACAAACUGACCAUGGUAGUGGAUCAUGUAUUACUAUUUUUAAAAAGGAAAAAUAUAGAUGACUUUAGAAUCUGAAUAUGGAUGUUCAGUAUGGAAUAAACAACUAGCAUAUUGCAUAAUCUUUCUAUUGAAGAUGCAAGUUAGAAAGAGACCUUCUCAUUUUCCUGCUCUCUCUAUCAGUAGCAGGGCAUAUGUUAUUUUUAUAUGAAUCAACACAUAUGUGUUUUUGGGGAGUGAUGAGUUAUGAUGAGUUUCUCCCCCUCUUUCUGAGAAAUCAAAUGAACUUCAAUUGCAAACUCUUUGUAGGCAAAAUUAGUAUCUACUUUGAUUAACCUUGUAUCAUCCAGGAUUAUCACCACCACUUUGACACAUUCUAGAUAUCAAUAAUUAUUUUUGAAAGAAUUAAUUGAUAGGUAAGUUUUGAGCCAGCAAAUAGAUUUUCAAAGUGCCAUCACCUACUAUGUUUAAUGGACUCACAUACAAUGAAUUAAAAAUAAUAUAAUGAGAUACACAGCAAUUAUUUUCAAUGUCAGCAGCAAAUAGAAGGCUUGCAGUGUGAUUUACUUCCUCUAUCACCACCGCUGCUCCAUAUAAGACCACAUCUCCCAACCCCACCAAAAUCAUUGUACAACUUAACUAAAAGCAGUAUAAACAAAACAUUUUGACAAGUCUUCUAAUUCUCCAUUCCAAUUAGAUAUCUUAUUAUAAAAAGAUUGUGUCAACAUUACUGUUUUACUGUUCUCUUGACAGGAAGGAAAAUAUUAUUGCAAAGUGCUUCAUCCACGUGGAUGAAAAAUAAUUCUGUUUUGUUUAUGGGUAUUUAAGAAAUCUUAUGCUUUCUUAUCUGUGCUUUACUGGGAUGAACAGAAACAUAUCACAAGUAAUAAAUGUAGUAAAAUAUACAACAUAAAUUAUCACAUUCUGCUUUUUGCCCAAGUUCUUCAGUUCAUCUUUUCCUUGAAAUUAUCUCUAAUAUUUUUCCAUGCCAAAUUUGAUUAUAUAAGGCAUACCCGUGUUUUAGCAUUUAGAAUGGACAAUAACUCUCCUAGGACACCUUCCCCAAUACCAUGCUUCUCCAGUAACACUCCAUGCACAUCUCUAUCCUUGCACUUGGUUUACUAUAUUGUAAAUGUAACUGCUUUAUUGAACAGGUUGAAUUCACUGGGGUUAUCAAUGUAAAAUUAUUUAAAAUUUUCUAAUACUUUUAAUUGUGCUCUGCUGAACCUUUAUUUCUCCCUCUGGAUUGUACAGUGCAUUAAUAACAUGUUAUUCUCAUUCUGAUUUCAUAAAACUAUUUAUUCAAAGAUUUAACCCUCUCCACCACCCCCUGCAACACACACACACAAAUACACACAAACACACACACACAGUGAUUGGACACAGUUCAAAAUAGGAAAUGAGAUAUUAUUUUUCCUGUCUUAUAAGUUUAUUCAAACUUUACAACUGAUUCUCUGAGGGUCUCUCUCCCCUACCUUUAAUAAGGGAAAACAGUUGAACAUCCAACUCUCACUAAAAGGGAGGUGUAGGAAGGCAAGUGAAUAAAGUGAAUAGCUUCUCUUCCUGAAUGAUAUAUUUAAACACAAGCUGAGCUCUUAGGCUCAGUGUCCCAUUCAUAUGCUUCUCCAGGUGAAGACCCGGUGAAGUCUUCUUUGAACUUAGUCCUACAUAAUUUAAGGGAGAACUAUUUAUCUUCACUCUAAUUCUAUCUAUAUGCACUAUUAAAAACAACAGCAACUGUUACCACAGCAAAUAAAAAAUUAAA